GAAGGAGGAAGAUGAGCAACACCUUUUUAGAGAUUGUUGGUUGGCGUCCCAUGUUGGGAGAAGGAGUAUAUUGGGCAUUGCUGCUCGGAAUGCAGGUAAUAUCUCAUUGUAUCAAUGGAUACAGAAUAUUAUGAAGUUCUUAUGGGAAGAGGACGGGCAUGAUAACUCGCGGAUAAGAAACUUUGUUGCUAUAUUAUGGAUUUAUGGAUACAUAGGAACAACAUCAUCUUUUGAAAUGAAAAACCAUGCCCGUUGAGAGUGGUGUCAUUACACUAGAGGGAAAAUUGCCAUGUGCUUCCCUUCAAGUGCGGCUCAUUUGAUAAAUUGGCAACACUUGAGAGCACACAAAAAAAAAAAACAUUUUCGCAAGUGCGGGCUCAUUUUCGAAAAUUGGCAGCACUUGAGUUCAAGUGCGGGCUAUUUUACGAAAGAGCCGCACAAAAUAUAUCAAAAAAAUUUCAUUUCCCCUUCUCUCUCCUUCCUCUCCUCUGGUUCAACCUAACUCCAUUUUCCCGGUUCUCUCUCUUCCCCUCUCUGGUUUCUCUCCUUCACCUCUCUGGUUCUUCUUUGGGCGCAAAAUUCGGACCCGAAGGCGGCGCCGCCACAAUCGUCGUCGUCUUCGUCGGCGGCACCUGCGCCAAUGCAAAUGGCGGCGUCUACGACGAUGCCACCGCCCUCAUCGUUAGGGAAAUCAGUUACUGACCGGAAAUCGAAGAGGACUACGCUUAUGCAGAUUCAAAAUGAGACCAUUUCUGCUGCUAAGGCUGUUCGUGCUAAUAUUUUGCCUCAAAAGCAGAAGAAAAGGUGGAAAUAUUCAUAGAUAUUAAAGCAUCAAAUUAUUAUCUACUUUUCAAGCAUGAAGAAGUUCGUACAACCAUAAUGACAAUGCAAAUAGAUUACGUCAACUCAAGGCUCAUAGCAAUGAGCAAGUAAAUUGAGGCUAGAGUAAGGUGGUGUGAAGAGGAAAGACAAGAAUAUCAAAGUUAGUGUUGGACUGUUGCUGCUAUUUACUGCUCUGCUUACUGCUCCUGUUGUUUACUACUGCUGCAUACUGCUCUGCACUCUAAUCUGAACUUCUGUUUCUGUUGUGCAUCACUUAUGUGUCACCAAUAUAGGUACUAAGUCUCAUGCUGGUCUACAGAGCUGAUGCAGUGUUGCAGCGGCUAGUGUGCAUGAACCAUUGUAACAUACCUAUUAAUAAAAUUCUAUGUGUAAAUUGUUCUUAAAUAAUCUGCAUAUAUAGAACUUAAACCUUUGAUCAACUCCGAAGUGUUAAAAGCGGCGUUUUAACUCGAUCAAUAACUAGUGUUUUUGUAUUAUAAUUAUUUCAUGAUUUGAGGAAUUCUAGAAACAUGAACUUGUUAGAUAGGAAUUUCUUUCAUAUGAUCAAACAAGCCUCAAAAGUGCACACUUUGACCAAAAUAGGUGAGUAUUAGUCUUAGAAAAAUAAAUCUAAGUAUAUUAAACAUCUAACGGGUUUAAAAUACUUAUUUAAGUUCAUUAAUUGAAAGUUGUAACCGAAAUAAGUUAUUUUAGUCAAAACGUGAAACACUACAGUUGUAUAGAGGAAAUCUCAUUAUUUUUGGGGUAACAAGGAAAACUUGUAUUGCGAGUGUGAAACACUACAGUUGUAGAGGAGUCUAUAUUAGUUUGUCAUGUAUUUCUUCUGUUUUCAGAGUUCACAUAGUGUAGAUUGUUACUUAAAUUUGUCAGUUUAUAAUAGUCUAAAGAAUUAAAGGAAUUAAGACUUGAAGUGUUCCGUUUAUGAUCUAGUGUUGGCUUUUUUAUGCUUAUUUGACCUUUUCUGCGUUUGGGAAUGGAUUGAGGCUAAUGGUGGUAGUUCACUCCUUGAAGACUUGUACAAGGCCUUGGAUAAAGUGGUCAAACUCUCUGAAUGUGAAAUUUACAGUUAUAAUGCUGACUCCGACGCAGACCCCUUUUUACAAAGAGGAGCAAUAUGGUCAUUCAAUUUUUUCUCCAAAGUGCCACCCAUUUGGAAUCUUCGGCCAUUAAGUGCCACCCAUUUGCAAUCUUCUGCUAUGUAUGGGUGGCAAGGUGGGAUAAGAAAUGAAGUACAAUCUAUCACCUUAACUAGGUGGGAUAGGAAAGUGGCCACUGCAAGUUCUUGGGCUCAACUCUAUGAUGGCUGAAGGAGCUGGUAUACAAUAAUCCGAGGGAGCGGCCUUUCACCUUUGAGGAGAUAGAUGAAGUUCGGGAAAUGUUGGCAAAUUUCAUUACCAGUGAUUGUCUUUGAUAUUUUCUUGUACUGAAUCUUAAAUUACGGAUGCUAGCUAGUUUUUCAUAUGAUUGUAAUGUAAUCGACUUUUAUAUUUACAAUUAUACACCAUUUAAUUUACGGUUUUUUCAUGAAA